UCGAACGAACGACACGCCUGGUUCCGUCUAACAAAUGGAGACACGGACCCCAGAAGGUACCAAAUGAAAGGUACAGCUGGUAAGGUCUAAAACAGUGAAUACAGACCGCAGACAGUAUCAAAUAAAAGAUACAUCUUGCAAGGUCAAAACAGAGAAUACAGACCGCAGACAGUAUCAAAUGAAAGAUACAUCUUGCAAGGUCAAAACAGUGUGACUCUGAAAAUGAGUUACCAGCAUACAGUGUAAAUUGCCGGUGAAAUACCGUUACCUUAAGGCCAUGAAUUAUAAGGUAACCCGGGAUACUCGUAACCAUACUAACCGACAGUAGAGUACCAGACGCCCUACAAGCGUCUAUAAAAUAUGACAUUUGUCACCUCUUGGCUUGGUAGGCCGUGGACUGUAGCUAGCAGUCAGGGUGCGGGAGUGUCAAUCCCGUAUAGAUCUAUACACACAAUGUCUGCUCUUCCUACAGGAGAGACUCUGGUUACCAACCAGACGACGGAGAAGGUCGUGUCCCGAAAACGCAUCCCAAAUAGUGGAUAGUAGGUUUCUAGUGGGUAGUGGGUUUCUAAUGUAAGUGCUGAACUAGAGGUAGAGACUCAUAACUGAACUGACUAGAUCAUACCUGUACGUCUAUACUCGUGUACAUAAUAUAUAACUAAUGAAUCAAACGACCUUCGGACGGACAUCCGAUCCCACCAGACCACAUCUCAACGAAGAAAAGGAAAUAGGGNNNNNNNNNNNNNNNNNNNNNNNNNNNNNNNNNNNNNNNNNNNNGGACUGUAGCUAGCAGUCAGGGUGCGGGAGAGUCAAUCCCGUAUAGAUCUAUACACACAAUGUCUGCUCUUCCUACAGGAGAGACUCUGGUUACCGAAUCGUGGUGUGAAAUCAUACAGUGCGGGAUAACCGAAUCGUGGUGUGAAAUCGUACAAUAUGGAAUAACCGAAUCGUGGUGUGAAAUCAUACAGUAUGGGAUAACCGAUUCGUGGCGUGAAAUCGUACAGUGCGGGAUAACCGAAUCGUGGUGUGAAAUCGUACAGUGUGGAAUAACCGAAUCAUGGUGUGAAAUCAUACAGUGCGGGAUAACCGAAUCGUGGUGUGAAAUCGUACAGUGUGGGAUAACCGAAUCGUGAAGUAUAAGUGUACCAAGUAUAAGUGUAUCACGAAGUGGAAACGACAACUAGUGAAGUAGAAGCAUCUAACAAGUAUAAGUGACUACAAGUAUAAGCGAAAUAGAGGCAAUAACAGGUAUAAGCGUAUCAGGAAGUGAAAGCGUUAUCAAGUAGGAGUUAACAAUAAGUGAAAAGCGAAGCAGCUGUAACUAACAAGUAUAAGUAUACGACGUGAAAGAGAAAUUUGAUGAAAACCUUGGAAAACCUUUAUACUUAGGAAAAUCACAUUUUGGUAUUCUUUGGUAAAUUAAGUUUGAAAACAUGUAGAAAUCUUUGGAACCUUUAUAAACCAGUUUGAAAUGAUUUUAGAUACAACAGUAUAAGUAAGAGUUUUGAAACAAUGGAAAACCUUUUUGAAAACCAUUAUAGUAUCCUACUCAGUAAAACAGUGUGCAGUGUGGUAAAAUCUCGUGCAUGCGGGUUAUCAAUCACAUGUGAUUGAUGUGAUAACUGGCAUGUUUAACUUGUAUUCCCCCCCUAUAAAACAUGUAAAAACAUUCAAAGGUGGAUUUAGGGGUAUGAACUCACCUGUAGUGAGUGGUUCUGAUGACAAAGUUGGAUCUGUUGCUAAGUAUCAAGUGGUGACUUGAGUACACACGUGAAUCCUAUUUAGCGCAUAUUGAUACAUAUAUGAAUAUAAUUAGUGUUAUGAGCAACUAACUUUUGAAUUGGGACCACUUUAGGGACUAGUAAACACUUAUAUUGAAGUGUUACAACCAUAAAUGAUUGUACGAAGGGUUAAAAGACUAUACAAGAGAGUGUAUGGCCUGAAUACACACUAUAUGUGUGUGUGCGGCCAUGUGUGCAGCCAGGUGUGCUGCCAGCACGUGUGUGCGGCCAUGUGUUCUACAAGAAAACAUGGUGUUCUUGGUGUUCAUGGUGUUCUUGGUGAAAGAUGUUACCUUUCCGGAUGAUACUUGAGAGGAUUUUCGAGUCCUAGCUUUGUAAGAGUGUAAGAAAUGAUCAAAAUGACCAAGGAUAGUAUAUAUAGGAGGGUGUGUGUGGUUGGAGGUGUGUGUGGUGGCCUGUGUGCGGCUGGCUGGCCGCACACACUAGUGUGCGGCCGCACACACCUGGUUUGGUGUGUUUGGCCUAUUUUUCCAUUGCUUCACCCAAACUAACCCAUCCUCCAACACGUAUUUCAAUUAUACUAAGCCUUAAGCACUCUUUUAGACUCGAGACUUCAUUAUAAAAUAGUAAAACGAAGCUAACUUUGAUAAAAAUGAAGAAUGUAAACUAGAAAUUUCGGGUUGUCACAUCAUCCCCCCGUUAGAGGGAAUUUCAUCCCGAAAUUCAAGUUUAGGCAAGGAAGUAGGUAUGAAUGACCGAGUAAUGAGAUGAAGAUACUUCCUAUUAGGCUGGUCCUCGCACUCCCAAGUGAACUCUGGCCUUCGCUUGUUGUUCUAACUAAACUUUCACUUACGGGAUGCGGAUUCCGUCUUGUUCCGUUACCGAUUCCUAUUGGUUCGUCUACGAAGUUAGGGUUCCCAAUGGUUUCUGUCAAUAUGAGUGGGAUAAAAGAAGUCACGUCGGGUAAACACUGAUCAAGUCUAAGAAGUGGAUCGUUCCGGUGUGAAACUUGUGGAAUAUCCGAAAGGAGUAGUGGCCUGAAAAGGGUUGGACGAAGUCUCCAUGAGGAUUCUCAGAUGGUCUUAAGCUCUCGGAUUUGUAGAGCUUUUCAGCACUUAGAACAUAGUGUAAUUCUAUGGCAAGAUCAUCACUGGCGUGAUCGCCAUUCCGAAGUUCCAAACGUGUUCACUCGUACUGUGGGUGUAGUCCUUCAGGUUGGUUCUUAGGAAGCUUGGGUUGUCCUUGGAUUCGCGCUUCCUGUCAAUUGGCUUUUGUAGACUUUCUAGAUUAUUGGGUGGAUUGCGUGUCUACGGGUACUUGUUUGCUGCAGAGUGUCUAUCUCAAUCUUGUGCAAAAUGAACCUGCACUUCUGAUUCUUGAGAUAUUUCUAACGGAAACCCUCAGGGUCAAAGAAAUAGGGUUUCACCAGACGAGUGUUGGAGUAUCUCAGGAGCUGGUUCUACUAUUUCUGCGUGAGAUAGUAUUCGUGGAACACCUAAUAGUCCAAUGAAUCUCUAAGACUUUGGUUUAUUCUAGUGCGGAAAGCGCAUGCUCCUGCAUAACCCCUCGACUAACACCAAGGCUGGUGUCAAGUCUAUAAUAUCUUCGAGAUCUGGGUCAUGAGGCUUAAUGCAACUACUUCCGCACUUUGAUCAAGUAUUCUUGGCUGCGGAGGUUAUCAUGUGGUUCUCGGUAUUCUAGUGUUUACUUCGGAGAAUGAAUUCUAUCGUCUACAGGGAGACGACGAUUUCCUCCAUGCGAGAGGGUGGAGGGUUAAAGGCACUACUCGUCUGUAAUAGGGUGGACGAAGUGCCUGAGUAGUGCGAACAUCUUCAACACUACUCUUCCGAAGGUUCUGAGUUUUCUCGGUCUAGGUCAAAUCUAGUGAGUAUAGGGUUCCAUUACUCGGAACUUUAAUCUCUUUACUAACUGAGGGUGUUAGCUAUCAUGUGAGCUCAACCGGUAUGACAACAACCUUCGGCUUUGUGGUCAUUAUAGUAGCUCAACCUGCAGUGGUUCUCUUGACUCCAACUCCUAUUUUAUGGAAUAGGAUGAAGGGCUUUACUAAGAGGUUCGUGGUAGAGCUCAUACUUGGCUUAACCACUAAUACUUGGUGUAUGCAAGUCGUAUAUAAUUGAGGUCGGCAGGAUGUUCAGUUGUGCGACUCCACCCCAGACCCACAACCCAACGAGGAACAGGGAGUAGGGAGGAAGCACACAUCUUAAAUCUUUUUUAUCUCAAUUAUAUAGCACUCUUAUGCGAGGUGCGAAGGGUCUUUCUGGGUUUCUACGGUGUCUACUUUGGAUGGUUAUCGUCUUCUGGAAUGCCUGCAGUUCCUCUCGCUUUGGUUUCUAUCUGUCUAAGAAGGGUUGGUUAACAACACGCGGUACCUUCUCCUGGGUACUUCGGACGGUUUGAAAUAUGAGUGACGACUGACGGAUCGCAUUAGGUUUUAUUAUUCUUAUUUUGUUUAGGUUCGGAAGAAACUUUAUCUGCCGAAAUGGCUACGGUGAAAGUUCUUUUUACACAGCACUAAGGAUUUACACAUGGUUGCACGAAGUCGAACCAUGAUUGAUAGAGGUUUCGAAGUUGGCAUACUUUGACAUGAUAUAGAAUUGGGGUCGAUAGAGUCAUGUGCCGAACGGGCACUCAAGUUCUAGGCGUCUCGGGUUUUGCCCCGUGUAUCACUGUCGCGGAUACUUGGACCGAUAGAGUCGACGCGGAACUGUAGAGGGUCCUGAGUGUUUCUGGAUAGGGUAUCUUUCAUGAAUGGAUUUUCAUGAGGCAUUUCUAUAAUCGCCUAACAUAUACUAGUCGUGUAUAAUUAAGGUGGGGAGGACUAUUGACUGAGCGACUCCGCCUUAAAUCCACAACCAAACGAGGAACAGGAAAUGAGGCGGCCUUCACUCACUCUAGGUCUAUCCAUCUCAAUUAUACAUGGUCAUAACAUAUAUGUUUAGCCAUUAUAGUUUUACCUGAUGAAAUUUUAAAUUCUAUAACAGUGUUGCGACUUUCGCCUUAACAGGGAAGUAAUUACAUUUGGAAUUAGCCUUUUAACGUUUUUGAUUAGUUAUCUGAGAUUGAGAGACGUACCAAAAAUCUACCGGGUUCAUUGAUGUUUCUCCCCAAGUAUUAGAGUUAGACUCCUCCCGUGCCCUUGUCGUUUUCUUCAGUUGGGCAGUCCCUUUUGAAGUGUCCCAUUUCCCCACAUAGGUGGCAAACUGUAUUGGUCGCCACAUUGGUGGUUGAUGUAAUAAACUCAACCGGGGUUCUGCAGACGCGAGCAGUAUGCCCCUUCAUGUUGCACCUAGCACAAUAGAGUUCUCGACAGAUACCAUGAUGAUGGUAGCUACACUUGUUGCAGUGGGGAAGGUUUCCUAGGUAUGGUCUUCUUGAAGUCGGGAUGGAAGGGCUGGCAGGGGUAUUGACUGUCUCGGCUCGUUGCCCUUCAGCAGGUCCUUGAGCCGAGGUACUUCCCUCCUCGAUCUUGAACUUUCUCUUCAGUGGAGUUGGUUGAGGUUCUUGAGUGGCUGGGUAUGCAGGUGUUGGUUUCCGUUGUCCAUUACUUGGAUCGGAAUUCCCGAUAGGGCUCUUGCUAACAUUGGCGUUGUUAGCAUUCAGUUGAGCCAUGACAGCUGCUACGGCUGCCGAGACUGCAGCUUGGAACGUAGCUUCAUCGAUUAGGAGAGUCGGCUUCUUGCCAGUGAAUUGGUUACGCUUCUUCGUAGGGAUGGUUUUUCCUACACGGAAAGGAACACAGCCGGUGAGAGACAAUGGUUAGCCCUUAGACGUAUCUAUCCUCACUAUAUUAGGCAUAAAUUUUCCCGUGCCUCGGAUGUUGGCUGUCUGAGUGUCGACCUACAUCCCUAUGAUGUAGUCCUGGAAAUCAAGGUAGGAGUAUGAGUAUCGGAGAAAGGCCAUAAGAUAGGAGUCAUUCCUACUAAGUUACCUUUAUACUGGGAAGGUUUCACUCUCCGGUCUGGAAAGAUUUGAGAACAGUUCGGAACGAACACCGUGGGGAGAGAGGCUCAUGAAGGCUUAUGGCUAAAUAUUCUCAAUAGAGGUGUGGGGUUCGGCUCUAAUCGUGUGACUGGCAAUGGGAGACGACGACUUACCUAACACAUAGCGUGAGUAGUGUAACCACUAACUCACUACAUUGUAUUAUUUUCAGGGUGUAUUAGCGUGACGAACACGAGGGUAAGACACUUCUCGGGUUCCAUGUACCGGCUCCCUCUGUCUGCCUCGUAUCUUUGAAUGGUAUCGGCGUUGGUUUCCUUCGGGUAGUUACCUAGGGUUCUUCUCUUGUGAAGACAUAUUGAAUUUCUACUCCGCCUUCCUUCUGAUUCCAACUCUACGUGUCAUCACUUCAUGAUGGAUGAAUGGGAAUCUCCGAAGUUUAGGCAAAUUUCUCACCGAUGUCCCUAUAAAGAUAUAGGCACUUGGUGAUCUCAAUAGUCUCAUCCUAGUUCAUUUAUUUCCGAACUGGAAAUCUUCUCAAUAAACCUCUUCUGGGUCUGAAUCAACUCUUCUGCCGUGCACUGAAGUGGAUAGGGUUUUCUACAGGUUUCAUGCGAGAAUGGAAAUGUCAAAAAAAUCCUAAGAGAUUAUUAACAUUUCACUGGAUGAUCCAUAUCGAGUCCUGCUACGAUUACACAGGGUAUACAAAUCAUAUAUAGCUUAGAUCCGAUAGGCCUUCGAAUAUGUGAUACUACUCUAUAUCCACAUCCCAACGAGGAAAAGGAAGUAGAGCGAAACCACACAUUCUUAGCCUAUGGGAUCCUUAUUAUAUAUAACCUUGGAAUUACACCCUCUGUAGUUGUAGGUAUAUCAAUAAGGAUCUUUUUAGUUCUUCACACAAGGUUAUCUAUGGAUCCUAAAAUAUCCCUAUGGUAUUUUAAUUUCUUGUUUGUUUCUUAUCUUCUGAAUUUGAUUCUGGGAUUAAUGUGAAUCUUUUGAUGUUCUAAAAUACUUCUAUAGUAUUUUGACUUUAUGUUUGGCUCUAGCAUUCCUAGUUGGUAAGUUUCAGACCUGUUGCACACCACUAUCACUCCCAAGCACAUGUUCAUCGCAUCUCGAAUAAAUGUAGUUGAUCAGGUUACAUUUAUUCCAGCUUACGAUUACAUAACUGCCCAGGUUUGACGGUAAUGCUCAACAUCCGAAGACUUUUAUUAUUGUUCUUCUUGUGAUACUUUUGUUCGAGUGUUUAGAUUCUGGAUGUUAUUAUACUUUGGUAAAAUAUGGUUAUAUUUUAAAGUAUAAUUCUUGGUCAGAGUGUUUUAUCCCUUUGUAUUUAUAGGUUGUAUAUCUUUUAUGAAUUGAUAUACUUAGCUCACUAUAAACAAUGCUCUGAUACCAAUCUGUCACACCCCAAAACCGGAACGGCGGAAACGUUCUGGGGUGGAUGACGUCAUGUCAAGUAUCACAACACAUGCAUUAUAGUAAUCAAAGUACAACAAAACAUUGCAUUAAUAGUAAUAGUUUUACAUGGUUUACAUUACAAUACAUCAAAGUAAUACAAGCAAAUAUAAUAAGUACAGCAUGGUACUAAGCUAUCUUCAUCAACAGCUCCGGGAAUGUACCUGUCUAAUGCUGACCUGAGAAUACAAGUUAUUUGAAAAGCGAGUAUCAGCAUUUUUACAAAUGCUGGUGAGUUCAUAAGUAAUUAGUGACAUUUUAUUCAAAUAACUUUAUAAUGUAGUAGUUUAAGAGUUUACAGUGUAUUAGAGUUCUUUCCAGAAAAUCCUAUAUUUUCUUUAAUAAAAGCAGCCUUCUACCAAGACUGGACGGAGUUAUGUGGUAAAAAGUAGUUUUCCCUUAAUCGCUAUCAUUAUCAAAAUACUGAAUUUGAUUAUUAAAGAAAGCAAGAGAAGUCAUGGAAAUAACAUAUGCCUCAGCAGUGAGGACUGCUGACUAAGGCAAAGGAAUCAUAGACUCUAGGAGAGUAUCGAACGAACGACACGCCUGGUUCCGUCUAACAAAUGGAGACACGGACCCCAGAAGGUACCAAAUGAAAGGUACAGCUGGUAAGGUCUAAAACAGUGAAUACAGACCGCAGACAGUAUCAAAUGAAAGAUACAUCUUGCAAGGUCAAAACAGAGAAUACAGACCGCAGACAGUAUCAAAUGAAAGAUACAUCUUGCAAGGUCAAAAACAGUGUGACUCUGAAAAUGAGUUACCAGCAUACAGUGUAAAUUGCCGGUGACAUACCGUUACCUUAAGGCCAUGAAUUAUAAGGUAACCCGGGAUACUCGUAACCAUACUAACCGACACUAGAGUACCAGACGCCCUAC
rnacentral:lncRNA from 1 species